rnacentral:tRNA from 1 species
GCCGGGGUAGCUCAGUCGGUAGAGCGAAGGACUGAAAAUCCUUGCGUCGGUGGUUCAAUUCCACUCCCCGGCACCA